rnacentral:tRNA from 1 species
GCCGGCUUAGCUCAGCUGGUAGAGCAACCGCCUUGUAAGCGGUAGGUCGCGAGUUCAAGUCCCGCAGCCGGCACCA